UGCAAGUCGAACGCGAAAGCCCCGCAAGGGGUCAGUAGAGUGGCGAACGGGUGAGUAACACGUGGGUGACCUACCUUCGAAUGGGGGAUAACGUCCCGAAAGGGACGCUAAUACCGCAUAACAUCCUGCCUUUGAACAGGUGGAGAUCAAAGCCGGGGAUCGCAAGACCUGGCGUUUGAAGAGGGGCCCGCGUCUGAUUAGCUAGUUGGUGAGGUAACGGCCCACCAAGGCGACGAUCAGUAUCCGGCCUGAGAGGGCGGACGGACACACUGGGACUGAGACACGGCCCAGACUCCUACGGGAGGCAGCAGUGGGGAAUUGUUCGCAAUGGGCGCAAGCCUGACGACGCAACGCCGCGUGGAGGAUGAAGGUCUUCGGAUUGUAAACUCCUGUUGCCCGGGACGAAAAGCUUCGACCUAACACGUCGAAGUCUGACGGUACCGGGUGAGGAAGCCCCGGCUAACUCUGUGCCAGCAGCCGCGGUAAUACAGAGGGGGCAAGCGUUGUUCGGAAUUACUGGGCGUAAAGGGCGCGUAGGCGGCCUGCUAAGUCGAACGUGAAAUCCCCGGGCUCAACCCGGGAACUGCGUCCGAUACUGGCAGGCUUGAAUCCGGGAGAGGGAUGCGGAAUUCCAGGUGUAGCGGUGAAAUGCGUAGAUAUCUGGAGGAACACCGGUGGCGAAGGCGGCAUCCUGGACCGGCAUUGACGCUGAGGCGCGAAAGCCAGGGGAGCAAACGGGAUUAGAUACCCCGGUAGUCCUGGCCCUAAACGAUGAAUGCUUGGUGUGGCGGGUAUCGAUCCCUGCCGUGCCGAAGCUAACGCAUUAAGCAUUCCGCCUGGGGAGUACGGUCGCAAGGCUG
rnacentral:rRNA from 1 species